AUGACGCGUGCGGCCAUCCGUCCAUGGCUGCGGGGUGGCCUGGCGUCGAGGGCCUCUGCGCGGUGCGGGAGGUGGUUCCCAGGCAGCGGCGCUGCACCGGGCUCGCCCCAGAUCUGCCGCUGCUCGGGCAUGCUGCGGCGUGCGCGGCCGGAUCCAGCCGUGUCCGGCUCGGAUCCAUUGUGCCCCCCCCCUCCCCGUUCCUCUUCUCUGUUGAAGUUCGAGCUCCCCCUGUCGUUUGCCUGCGUAGGUGUUGGGUGGUGCUUGGUGGGUGUCCUUCGGCUACUGGUGUGGUGUUGGCCGGCGUGGUGCCGGGCGACGCCGUUGGUCAGCUCUUCUAUCGUCUACCGCCCUGCUGCAUUUGCACCGGUCGGCGGUUCCUUGGCAGGCAGAUGGCGGCCAUGGAUGCGGCCUGCUCUCCACGUGGGGUGCAGCCGUGGGCGGUCAGGGAGGCCCCCCUUGUCUUGCUGUCAGUCUGGAUGGACGCUUGUCCGUCAAGUUGUUGAGCUUCAUGGCUUCGCUGUGGCGGCCAUGGAUGCGGCUUCCUCCCAUCCGGGAGGGCCGUGGCUUGGGGCUGGCCGUCUUUCCUUCCUGAUGGGAUUUCAUUCUCGUUGGUGUUCUUAUGGGUCGUGCUCGAGUGCUCCUUCGUGUGUGUCUGCUAGGCGGUGUCCAGCGACCUCGCCGGUGACACACAGGUGUCGUGGCGCCUCUUGUCCCCGUGUGACCUUUCGACUGUGCCCCACGGCACAGGUGGUGCUGCGGCAUUGUGUAGUCUCGGAAGCACGUCGUCCUCGAUUGCGUCGACGAUACAGUGUCUUGGUUGGGUCUGCCAGGCGAUGCCCUUCGACUUUGCCGGCGACGCACAGGUGCUGUGGCGCCAUCUCGGCCUUGCGUGUCCUUUCGAAUGUACCCCACGACACAGGUGGUGUCGCGGCAUUGUGCAGUCUCGGUGCGUGA
rnacentral:rRNA from 1 species